UACUCUUGACAUCCUGCGAACUUUCGAGAGAUCGAUUGGUGCCUUUGGGAACGCAGAGACAGGUGCUGCAUGGCUGUCGUCAGCUCGUGUUGUGAAAUGUUGGGUUAAGUCCCGUAACGAGCGCAACCCUCGUCGUUAGUUGCUAACAGUUCGGCUGAGAACUCUAACGAGACUGCCUACGCAAGUAGGAGGAAGGUGAGGACGACGUCAAGUCAUCAUGGCCCUUACGACCAGGGCUACACACGUGCUACAAUGGCGGUAUACAAAGAGCAGCAAUACGGUGACGUGGAGCGAAUCUCAAAAAUGCCUCCCAGUUCGGAUUGUAGUCUGCAACUCGACUACAUGAAGUUGGAAUCGCUAGUAAUCGUAGAUCAGCUAUGCUACGGUGAAUACGUUCCCGGGUCU
rnacentral:rRNA from 1 species